GUGGCCGUGGCCCUGCUGGAGUGCGGGGCAGACCUCCAGCCCCCCGGGGGGUCCCUGCGCCUCCUUUGCCGAGGGGCCGGGUUCAGUUUUGGACAAUUUGGUAUGUACUGUGUCCGCCAGAGACCCGGGCAGACGCUGGAAUACAUCGCGACUAUCAGCAGCAAUGGUGGCAUCACUGCCUACGCGGAUUCGGUCAAGGGCCGGUUCACGAUCUCCAGGGACAACGGGCAGAGCUCGGUGACGCUGACCAUGAACAACCUCAAGGACGAGGAUUCCGCCGUCUAUUUCUGCGGGAAAUCUGCUGAUAAUAAUGCCUAUGCUGGUGGUAUCCUGAUACUCGCGAGCCACUCCAUCCCCUUCCCGGGUCUUUGGCGCACCCAGACCACGUCGUAG